CCUGCACCGUAUGCUGCACCAAAGAUUCAUUUCUAAUAAUACUCUAACCAUGUUGGGUGUUUACAAGAAUUCACAUGAAAAUGAACUUUAAUUACCAAUAUAUUACGUGUCUUUAUGGCAACUAAGCAAGUUAUUGCAGCUCCUACAGUUGGGUGUUAACUAGAUGUGUUUGACCAUGGGCUGGUUGACUUGAUCACAUUUGUGUGUUUGCUAAUAUUACAUGUACUUAUAACAAUCUUUUAGUAAAGGCUGUUGACUAGGUGCAUAGUAUAAGUAGACAACCCUGGAAUUCCAUGAAAGCCAUCGAUAUAUUUCUUUUUUUUUUUGUUUUUUUUGCACCGGAGCCAUCUGACUAGUUUAAUCACUCAUCCAUUUUUCUGUUUGCCACUUAACCAACUCAUUAAUUUCUUAGUUCACAAGGAGAAAGUUAACACUUAGUACUUUGUUUGUAUGCUAUUUUAUGUUUAGCCCUGUCACAGUUACUGAUUUUUGUGGAGUCCCUGUACGCAAUUUGGCGGGUGUUCUCUACGGUAAAGCUUAUUUGGGCAGAUAGUCAUCGUUGUUUUGUUUUGUUGUGCAUAAGUAUGUAUAGGGCUAGGGACUAAGGAUAAAAUGGUCAUCGAAACCAAAAGGACAAGAGUUAAAUAUUCGGUCACCAAGGAUAAAAUAUCAAAUGGAAAUCAAUCUAGGGGGUAGAUGUCAAUUACCUCUAAUUCAUGGCAGCAUCCAUAUUAGACAUUAACCUGAUCGGACAACUUGUGUUAUCAAAAUUGAAAUUCCUCUUUUGUAUGUGUUUGACCUUUAAAACUAUUGAUGUAUGUGCAAAUUCUGUCUCAGAAUUUCAAGUUAAUCAGUAUAAAUCUGAAUUCAAGUUUUGUAUUUGGCGUUUUUAAGAAAAAUUUCUGAAUUUGUUUAGCUGAACAAUACCGUCAAGACUCAAGAGGUUCCUUGUUACCAGCUUCAAUUUUUCUUAACCGAGGAAUAACAUAUCAAGCUUAACAAAUGUUACUUGAUCCUAUUUAUGCUCCAUCACCACCAGUGCCUGCCCCCCCUCCCUCCCUCUGCUCUCUGUGUGUGUCCAUGGUUGUUAUCGUCCAUUGGCACCAGUUGCCCCCUUUUGUCUCCACCAUGACCACUGGCCCCUUUCCUCUGUCUCUAACUUCCCUUGUUCUCAUGGAUGUCCUGUCCAUUAUCACCAACUUUCCCUCCUUUGCCUCCACCACUAGUGCCCCAUUCCUCUCUCACUAUCUCUUUGUCUAAGUAUGUGCCCAUCUCUUCUAGUAAUGGUUGGUUCCCUCCUGUUUCCAUGGGGCUAAUCUUAUCAAGUCACUUGUAGUGGUUACAACCCCUCUUUCAGCAUCAUACAACUGAAAAACUACAAGGGCAUUUGUUGUUAUGAGUUAUAGGUAAACCAAAUAAUAUAGUUUUUUGCAAAUGCAAAUAAAAAGGAUGUAGAAUUCUAUUUGCAAUUGUAAAUCCUUUUGCAAGCAAAUAUAUUUGCAGGCAACCUAACAGCCCCUAAAUAUUACCCAUUUAUCAUGGUGAUUUCAUUUACUGGUCUAACUUCUUCAAGUAGCAUAGUAUUGCAAAAUGUUUCACUUUUCAAUAUAUAUGAAUGUGAGAAGUAUAUAUGUUGAUCACUAUGUUUCAAUUCUAAAUUUGGAGUGUAGUUAAGAUAUUUCUUAGCUCUUGAGCUUGAUAUAAUUUUGUGCUGAUUAGGUCCCUUGACGAUGUCAUGUUCCUAUAAGCUAUACCAAAUUUAUUUUUCCCCAAUAAAAUACAGUUGCUUCAAUGAUUUUUUUUUGGGGUGUUUACCCUCUAGUUUUUCUAGCUAAACAAAACAAAUUCAAUAGAAAUGAAUGUUCUUCUUUGUUGUUUUCUUUUUCUUAUUCAGGAUUCAUGCAAGGGCAUUGAUGAUCCCAGUCUAAAAGAAGUUAUUUUUCGAGAGGUUACUUCAUCAAUUCUUUCAAUUGCUCAGCGACACGAAGGCUACAAAACCUUGUGGCAUAUAUGUUAUGACCUUAGUGAUACAGGGCUCCUCCGUAGCCUAAUGGUAUGAACAUGCUUCCAUUCUCUUAGAAAUGCAUCUUUUGAAAUUAUUUUCUUUCUCUUAUAUCUAGAAUAUCUAUAUGUCAAUUUUCCCUUCACGAGGAAAGUUUGGGUGCCAUGGAAGUAAUGAUAUGGGUAUUUGAUGAUCCGGUGCAAGUAUCAGAUUUUUCUGAAGGUCCUUAUUCUAUAACUUGUUCCUUGGAAACUUUGGUAUAUGUUGUUUCCAAAUUACUAUUUGCUUAAAGUUUAACUAUAUUUGGAAUAUGUAGAAUAUAUGUGUUCAACAUAUACAUACAUACAUGCAUAUGUAUGUAUGUAUGUAUGUGUGUGUGUGUGUGUGUGUGUGUGUGUGUGUGUGUGUCUGCAUACACACGUACAUAUGAGUUGAGUUUCUUCAUUUUCAAUCUUCUGUUAUUAUCUGAUCAUAAUUUUUCUUGUCAUUUCUUAUUGUGAUAAAUGGAGCAGCAUGACAGUGUUGGGCCGAAAGGAGGUUUCAGCUCUUUCGUCUUUAAACAACUGAUUAAGAGUCAUCAGUAUGCUAAGUUGCUGAGGCUUGGAGAAGAAUUCCAGGAUGAGCUAGCUAGUUUUUUGAAAGAGCAUAAAGAUCUGUUAUGGCUUCAUGAGAUAUUUUUAAACCAAUUCUCCUCUGCUUCAGAAACUCUUCAUGCAUUGGCUCUAUCCAUUGGUGAUGGCUCUUCAUUGUUGAUUGAUGAGGAACUAGAGCUUGCACAGCCGAAGAGAGUGCCAUCUCUUGUUGAUAGAAGGUGCCUACUUAAUCUCUCCAAAAUUGCUGCAGUGGCAGGUUGGUUGCUUUCUGACAUUUAUUGUUUGAUCCGAAUAUGAGUAAAUGAGCAAAUGACACUAUUUAAGAGGUGCACGUAUUUGAGGUUUGAAUGUGAGGGCAGAUCUUGAUACAACAGUAAGGUUGCUCCAUUAUGAACUAGGCAUUAUGAAUUCGGAACUUGGGGAUAGCCUCUCCGCAUGUGAGACAAGGCUACAAACAUUUGACCCUCCUAGAUCCUGCAGUGGCGGGAGCCUCAUGCACUCGGACACCUUUUUUUAUGCUUUGUUUGUAACAAUAUGAAUACUACAAUUAACUGGAUCUCCAAGCUCCAAUUAGAUAAGCUCCUUGGUUGGAAGUGGAUGCUGUGCAGCCACACCUAGCAUAACACACUUUGUCAUGCUAGUUAAAUCGACACCUUCCAGUUUUUAAAAUUGAAAAACAUAACAUACCUAUUUCCCCCUCAAGAAAAUUUGAACAACCAAGCCCCCUUCUCUUAACUCUCCCAAGUUUCUAAGCCUACUGGCCCAAUGCUUCUUAAUAUUUUGGUCAUGGUUGUUAGGAUCAUAGAACCCAUGAUCGUUGUCGUUGAUUCAUAUGAAAA
rnacentral:lncRNA from 1 species